ACAAUGGGGGCCCAAGGUGAGAUGAAGCUGUAGUCUCACUGGAAGGACUAGAGG
rnacentral:lncRNA from 1 species